AGAACGAACGCUGGCGGCAUGCCUAAUACAUGCAAGUCGAACGAAGGCUUCGGCCUUAGUGGCGCACGGGUGCGUAACGCGUGGGAAUCUGCCCCUUGGUUCGGAAUAACAGUUGGAAACGACUGCUAAUACCGGAUGAUGACGAAAGUCCAAAGAUUUAUCGCCAAGGGAUGAGCCCGCGUAGGAUUAGCUAGUUGGUGAGGUAAAGGCUCACCAAGGCGACGAUCCUUAGCUGGUCUGAGAGGAUGAUCAGCCACACUGGGACUGAGACACGGCCCAGACUCCUACGGGAGGCAGCAGUAGGGAAUAUUGGACAAUGGGCGAAAGCCUGAUCCAGCCAUGCCGCGUGUGUGAAGAAGGUCUUCGGAUUGUAAAGCACUUUAAGUUGGGAGGAAGGUUGUAAACCUAAUACGUUGCAACUUUGACGUUACCGACAGAAUAAGCACCGGCUAACUUCGUGCCAGCAGCCGC
rnacentral:rRNA from 1 species